GUGGCGCCGCUGCAGUCCCUGUCUGCUGUGACCAGCUCUGACCAAAGGAGGCGUAGUAAGGAAGCCAGGACACCUGGAACCCGGGAUACGACUCAGUGGUCUUUGAGGAUGUGGCUGUGAACUUCACCCAGGAGGAGUGGGCUUUGCUGGGUCCCUCUCAGAAGAAACUCUACAGAGAUGUGAUGCAAGAAACCUUUGUUAACUUGGCCUCUAUAGGGAAAACUGGGAGGAGAAGAACAUUGAAGAUCACAAAAAUCAGGGGAGAAAGCUAAAAGUCAUAUGGUAGAGAGGCUCUGUGAAAGGAAAGAAGGUAGUCAGUUUGGAGAAACCAUCAGUCAGACUCCAAAUCCUAAACCAAACAAGAAAACUUUUACUAGAGUAAAACCAUAUGAAUGUAGUGUGUGUGGAAAGGACUAUAUGUGUCAUUCAUCUCUUAAUAGGCACAUGAGAUCUCAUACUGA
rnacentral:lncRNA from 1 species